ACAUACGACCAUACGCUUUAGAAAGCUCGGCAUCCCGUCCGCUCUGCCCUGGAUAAACUAGAGACGGCUGGAUUAAUACUCAGAUCGGUGAGGGCUGGGGAAUCCCCGGUGUUGUAUGUU
rfam:Pestalotiopsis fici W106-1 unplaced genomic scaffold PFICI_Scf_14, whole genome shotgun sequence.